rnacentral:tRNA from 1 species
GGGGUAUUAGCUCAGGGGGUAGAGCACUUGACUUUUAAUCAAGUUGUCCGGGGUUCGAAUCCCCGAUGUCUCA